rnacentral:misc_RNA from 1 species
AAGUCGUAACAAGGUUUCCGUAGGUGAACCUGCGGAAGGAUCAUUACUAGAGCAACGGACAGACAGCGCCCGCGCCUCGUUGCGCGGGGCUACCCGGCACCCGCCGGGUUUAGAGUCGUCAGGCCGCUCGGAGAAGCCUGGUCCGGACCUCCACCCGUGAAUAAACUACCUCUGUUGCUUUGGCGGGCCGCCCCGUGCCAGCGGCUCCGGCUGCUGAGCGCCCGCCAGGGGACCACAACUCGUGCCUUUUAAUGAUGUCUGAGUACUAUAUAAUAGUUAAAACUUUCAACAACGGAUCUCUUGGCUCUG